ACAAUAAGCUAAACGUUAAACACUUCAAUACUGUCAACAACUGAUUAGUCAUGGAUGACAUAUUAUCAACGGUAGAAGGGGGAACGUCCUUCUAUGUAUCUAUGUACUCUGGAGCUGGUCGACAGACACGGAUCUCGGUAUCGUUCUCCUGACCGUUGUUAUGGUGUUCCUCUGCUGCCUGCUCAUCAUCUGUCUGUCGCUCUUCUACCUGUGGGGCUGCGGACACCGCGCCUGCGACGAAGGAUGUUGUGGUGAUGAUGGUGAAGGCGGCGGGGGUGGAUGUUGCGGGGAUGGUUGUGGCGACGGCUGCGGGGACUGCAGCUUGGACGAUGAUUAAUUCGAGUUUCUAUUAAUAUGUUCGUAGUGCUACGAUAUGCGAUUUAAAAUCCUAUAAAUUGAAUGUGCCCAGAUACAGAUUCACUAGGAGCAUCCAUAUGCUCAUUGGAAAAAUUGUGGUCUAUUUAUAAAAAAUAAUAAAAUCGAGCUUAAUUUUGAAAUGCUAUCUAUUAGCUCAAUAUAAGGCAACCAAAAUUCAAAUUUUAAGCUCAAAAAGUAACGACUUCAGUAAGCUGCGACUGUACUCUUAAAAUUAAAAAAAAAUCUAUACCCAAUACAAUAUUUCUGAGAGCAGGGUGAUCAAAAUUCUUUAGCUGCUAUGCAAGGAACGAGGGCUCAAUCUAUUAUCGAAAUCAUCAAAAUUUGCCAUUUAUUUCCCAUAAGCUAUGGCCGGGUUGGAGCCUACAACUGUCCUAUCUGAAUACGAUAUUGAAUAUAUAGACAUUAACAUGACAACUGUGGCGUACCGUACAACCACUGGACACCCGGAUACUAACCUAGGGGUUUGGGGACUUUUGUUCAUAUUCGUCGUAAUUUUUCUCAUCAUUGCUGCAUGCUGUGCUUGUAUGGGUCUUCUCGUCCUUUUUGGUUGUAUGAAGUCCUUUCUGUGUUUUCGCUGUAGACGCCGAGGUGACGAGUUUAUAGGAAGGGAUCCCUGACUGUCGUUGAAAUUCUGUCAUUAAAACUAAAACUUGUGCAAAUAAAA
rnacentral:sRNA from 1 species